UUAGGCAAAUGAGGAUACUACUUUGUUUACACUGAAUAACCUUGUGGAUUAUAUACUCCGCUUAUUAUCUGAUGCCAUU